UACGAAGGGGGCUAGCGUUGCUCGGAAUCACUGGGCGUAAAGCGCACGUAGGCGGAUCUUUAAGUCAGGGGUGAAAUCCUGGAGCUCAACUCCAGAACUGCCUUUGAUACUGGGGAUCUCGAGUCCGGAAGAGGUGAGUGGAACUCCGAGUGUAGAGGUGAAAUUCGUAGAUAUUCGGAAGAACACCAGUGGCGAAGGGCGGC
rnacentral:rRNA from 1 species